rnacentral:rRNA from 1 species
CCUACGGGAGGCAGCAGUGGGGAAUAUUGCACAAUGGGGGAAACCCUGAUGCAGCAACGCCGCGUGAGUGAAGAAGUAUUUCGGUAUGUAAAGCUCUAUCAGCAGGGAAGAAGAUGACGGUACCUGAUUAAGAAGCCCCGGCUAACUACGUGCCAGCAGCCGCGGUAAUACGUAGGGGGCAAGCGUUAUCCGGAUUUACUGGGUGUAAAGGGAGCGCAGACGGCAGUGCAAGUCUGGAGUGAAAGCCCGGGGCCCAACCCCGGAACUGCUCUGGAAACUGUGCGGCUAGAGUACUGGAGGGGCAGGCGGAAUUCCUAGUGUAGCGGUGAAAUCCGUAGAUAUCAAGAGGAAUACUCAUUGCGAAGGCGACCUACUGGAACAUUACUGACGCUCAUGCACGAAAGCGUGGGGAGCAAACAGGAUUAGAUACCCCUGUAGUC